CCUACGGGAGGCAGCAGUGGGGAAUAUUGCACAAUGGGGGAAACCCUGAUGCAGCGACGCCGCGUGAGUGAAGAAGUAUCUCGGUACGUAAAGCUCUAUCAGCAGGGAAGAAAAUGACGGUACCUGACUAAGAAGCCCCGGCUAACUACGUGCCAGCAGCCGCGGGAAUACGUAGGGGGCAAGCGUUAUCCGGAUUUACUGGGUGUAAAGGGAGCGUAGACGGCAGCACAAGUCUGGAGUGAAAUCCCGGGGGUUAACCCCGGAACUGCUUUGGAAACUGUGCGGCUGGAGUGCAGGAGGGGUAAGCGGAAUUCCUAGUGUAGCGGUGAAAUGCGUAGAUAUUAGGAGGAACACCGGUGGCGAAGGCGGCUUACUGGACUGUAACUGACGUUGAGGCUCGAAAGCGUGGGGAGCAAACAGGAUUAGAUACCCCUGUAGUC
rnacentral:rRNA from 1 species